rnacentral:lncRNA from 1 species
CGGAGAGACCCCCGCGCUCCCGGAGCGGGGCGCGGCGUGCGCGAACUCUUCGGGAGUCGCUGCUCAUUUCCUCUCCUUCUCAUGCUCCUUGUAGUUAUAUCUGGGUUGUGCUGUAUCACGCACGCCACGUGCCAUUGCAGCCUGCGUGUGGUUUAUAAAUAGCUCCGUGUACACUGGGGACACGCUCGCUCAGGGGUGUUUCACUGUCUGGGGCGCGCUGCGGCCUCUCCCGGCCACAUUUAAGGAUCUGGAGCAUUAAAUAACAUUAAGAAUUAACAGAUGCCAAAGGAGUCGCAUUCCUUUUUCCGUGGGAAGGAGUGCCUGAUGAGGAAAAUCCCCCUGCUCCCACCAUGUAUUGGCGUUUCGGCUCCAGAUAAUAUUUUCUGUGUAUAAUAACUUGCACAGUCUGAGGGAAGCUUGUCGUGAAUUUGUCCACCUUUAAUCAGCGUUCAGGCCGGAGGGCGGCUUCCCACCCCUGUGCACGGGUUGGCGUGCCGCUGCUGCCGCUCGGGAAUGGUUUGCUCUCUCCGCAGCUCAGCCAGCUCUCCAUCAGAUUGUUUGGGAAGUCAGCGGGGCUGCCGGGUACCAGGAUAAAGUUCUUGGAAAGGCGUCACCGCAAGAGGACUGACAGUGCACACAGGAACCAGUUACAGGCAGUCACUGAUUCGUUUGCUGCUUGAGUG